GAGACAGGGGUGAGGCCCGCCUGGCUGAGACCAAGCCCUGCUGUACCAUCUGCAUUUUACAGUGAGGAUGCCCAUUGACAGGAGUGAGUGGUGCAGACGCAGAGAAAAGGAGAAUCAGAAUGACCCACAGGCUUCAAAUCCCACCUCUACCACUUAACUACGUACCGCACAUUUGGUCUUGGGCAGGCCAGUUAACUCAUCGAGUCCCUAUUUCCAUCCCCUGAAAAGUGGCAUAGUAACUCAGUUCUAUUGAGUUAUUGAGGACUGGCCCACAAAGAGAUAAGCAAUGUAAGUCAUAUGCAAGACAAACUGAACCUGAUCUAUUACCAUUCGAUAAUGAUACUUUUAGAGGGAGGAUUAGCUUUCUGUUUCAGAAAAAUUGGGUCAUUACCAUUCAUUCCUCCAUUCAACAAUGCUCCAUUGAUUAAGAAGCAGAAUUCAGUGGUAAAUAGCACACAACAGGACUUAUCCUGAGUGGUAAUUAUGAAAGUCAGAGACCUGGAACAUGCUUGGAAGGGAGAGGUGGUUCCUCUAGGUUAUUAGAAAUGGGGCAGGAAGCAUCUAAACAGUUUCACAGAUAGCCUUUUUGAAAUAUCAUUUAAGUGUUUGUUUUAUUUUGCUUUUUUUGGCGUCAUUGAGAUAUUUUCAUAUAGACCAGGAUAAGCCCCCAACAAAGUGGGUAACAGAAGAUGACCUUGAGCUCCUGACAUCCCAAUUUCUGCCUCCCGAGUGCUGGGACUGCGGCUGGCCUAGUUGUUUCUAAAGUAGAAUGGAUCUGAAGUUCCUGAACUUGUGUGCGAACGUUUGACAGAGGCCAAUGAGGGAUUCCUGUCACUGCAUGUGUGCCGAAGUUCUCUGGCACUGAGACCGGUGAUAUUGGUCUGACCCUCUGCAGUGUCCUGAGGGGAGGGCUUGCUUACCCACUCCAAGUCUGUGAGUCCUAAUGAAGCAAGGCUAAGUCCGCUGAAGACCACCCUUGAGAGAUCCUGGAGUGGCUGCUCCCUGAAGAGAGUCCUGGUCCUAGGAAUCUGGGAUUCUACCUGAAGUCACAAAGAUGAACAGAACAAACGGUAGAGCCCUGGAGAGAGGCAUCUGAGUGAGCCUGCUUUCUAACCAACUUCUCAGAACUGCCUGCCGCUGGGCUGCCGAACAGAAGUUCAAGUUCUGGGAUUCCACCCUUGAAGAGAAAUGAAUCUGCACUUAGUGAGCCCUCACCCUGUAGGUCAGGACAUGUAGUUCUUGCUAUCCUGAAACUCACUAUGUACAACAGACUGGUCUCGAACACACUGAGAUCUGCCUGGUUCUGUCUCCCCGGUGGUGAGAUCAAAGCACGAGUAGAAUUAGGAUACAGGACUUUUAUUUAUAUGUUAUGACUUCCGGUUUUGUUUUCAUGGGAUUCCUGAUUGUGCAGGCAAUUGGGUCUCUGUGUCUACAUCUGUUUCUUUUGCCUUUUCUUUGACUCCCUUUCUUUCAUUUGUUUCUUUUGCCCUAUUCCGAUGCAUUAGUUUUUGUUUUAUCUUAUUAUAUUUUAUUAUUAUUCAUCAAGUGCCCUUCUGUUUUCUAAAGAGAAACAAAAAGGUGGUAAAUUUGCAUGGAAUGGGAGGCAUAGAGGAACUGGGAGGAGUAAAGUGAGAAGAGUUCAAAAUCAGGAUAUAGUGUAUGAAAAAAUAGACUUUUCAAUAAAAUGGCAGCAAAAAAUGAAGAGCAAAAAUAACCAGCCUAUCUUAUCUUCCCAACAUUUGCUUACUUGCUUAGAGGAAAACUAAUCUUGAGUUUAUGGUUCUCUCUGCCUAAGCUUCAUGAGUGUAGUGUAGGAUUGCACCAUGAGGAAGAUACUGUGGUAGGAUACAACAUAUUGUGACAGAAAACUAAAAGUUCUCAACCAGAAGAAUU
rnacentral:lncRNA from 1 species